rnacentral:rRNA from 1 species
AUGAAAGUUCUAAGUGGUGCGUCCCCCUCAAUUCGGCCUUCCUCCUGGUCAAGGGCGAAUAUGCGUUUCUUUCUAUGUCUGCCAUUGGCAAGCAUUUGGAAGUAUUUCGUAUUAUCAUCACCUUGCACAAGCGAAUCCGCCUUGCAACGUUGGUACCAUUUAAUCUCUUCCUCGCGUAAUAGGCGGGCAAUCUGCUCAUUUAGACUACUUUUUUGCUCAAUCUCAACAACAGUCAGAGGCCUGACCUCCGCUAUUUUAUCAAGGGAAUUGAUUAAGGUAGAUAGUCGCAGUUUUUCUUUUUUGUAA